GGGGACAUAGUUCAGUGGUAAAGCACUUGCCUGGCAUGAGCAAGGGCCUGGGUUCCAUCCUCAGUACCCCCC
rnacentral:tRNA from 1 species